rnacentral:ncRNA from 1 species
GGGAGCCGUAUACAUCGAAAGGUGUACGUACGGUUCUGAGGGAGGUUCUCGGAAAUCCUGUCAUAGAAAUAUGAUAAGGCGUCCGGUUCCUACCCUAC